UACGAAGGGGGCUAGCGUUGCUCGGAAUUACUGGGCGUAAAGGGCGCGUAGGCGGCACUGUUAGUCAGGCGUGAAAGUCCUGGGCUCAACCUGGGAACUGCGCUUGAUACGGCAGAGCUAGAGGAUGGAAGAGGGUCGCGGAAUUCCCAGUGUAGAGGUGAAAUUCGUAGAUAUUAGGAAGAACACCGGUGGCGAAGGCGGCCCACUGGAUCGGUACUGACGCUGAGGUGCGAAAGCGUGGGGAGCAAACAGG
rnacentral:rRNA from 1 species